rnacentral:rRNA from 1 species
UACGUAGGGACCAAGCGUUGUCCGGAAUCAUUGGGCGUAAAGAGCGUGUAGGCGGCUUGUUAAGUCUUGCGUGAAAUCUCGGGGCUCAACCCCGAGCGGUCGUGAGAAACUGGCAGGCUAGAGUACGGGAGAGGAGAGUGGAAUUCCUGGUGUAGCGGUGAAAUGCGCAGAUAUCAGGAAGAACACCCGUGGCGAAGGCGGCUCUCUGGAACGCAACUGACGCUGAGACGCGAAAGCGUGGGGAGCAAACAGG